rnacentral:rRNA from 1 species
UAGAAGGUCAGGCUGAAGACCUUACCCGAUUAGCUGAGAGGUGGUGCAUGGCCGUCGUCAGUUCGUACUGUGAAGCAUCCUGUUAAGUCAGGCAACGAGCGACGACCCACGUCCACAGUUGGCCAGCAUACCCGUCCGGGGUGAUGGGUACACUGUGGAGACCGCCGCUGCUAAAGCGGAGGAAGGAGUGGGCAACGGUAGGUCAGUAUGCCCCGAAUCUCCCGGGCUACACGCGGGCUACAAUGGUUGGUACAAUGGGCAUCUACCCCGAAAGGGGAAGGAAAUCUCUUAAAGCCAAUCGUAGUUCGGAUUGAGGGCUGCAACUCGCCCUCAUGAAGCUGGAAUCCGUAGUAAUCGCGUUUCAACAGAACGCGGUGAAUACGUCCCUGCUCCUU